ACCUGUCGCGGGUGGCGCCGAAGGUGCCCGCGACGCAAGACAGAACACGUGUCCUGGGAACAUCGGGGCACUUCAGGGCGUU
rnacentral:sRNA from 21 species